GACGAACGCUGGCGGCGUGCCUAAUACAUGCAAGUAGAACGCUGAAGAGAGGAGCUUGCUCUUCUUGGAUGAGUUGCGAACGGGUGAGUAACGCGUAGGUAACCUGCCUUGUAGCGGGGGAUAACUAUUGGAAACGAUAGCUAAUACCGCAUAACAAUAGGUGACACAUGUCAUUUAUUUGAAAGGGGCAAUUGCUCCACUACAAGAUGGACCUGCGUUGUAUUAGCUAGUAGGUGAGGUAACGGCUCACCUAGGCGACGAUACAUAGCCGACCUGAGAGGGUGAUCGGCCACACUGGGACUGAGACACGGCCCAGACUCCUACGGGAGGCAGCAGUAGGGAAUCUUCGGCAAUGGGGGCAACCCUGACCGAGCAACGCCGCGUGAGUGAAGAAGGUUUUCGGAUCGUAAAGCUCUGUUGUAAGUCAAGAACGAGUGUGAGAGUGGAAAGUUCACACUGUGACGGUAGCUUACCAGAAAGGGACGGCUAACUACGUGCCAGCAGCCGCGGUAAUACGUAGGUCCCGAGCGUUGUCCGGAUUUAUUGGGCGUAAAGCGAGCGCAGGCGGUUUGAUAAGUCUGAAGUUAAAGGCUGUGGCUCAACCAUAGUUCGCUUUGGAAACUGUCAAACUUGAGUGCAGAAGGGGAGAGUGGAAUUCCAUGUGUAGCGGUGAAAUGCGUAGAUAUAUGGAGGAACACCGGUGGCGAAAGCGGCUCUCUGGUCUGUAACUGACGCUGAGGCUCGAAAGCGUGGGGAGCGAACAGGAUUAGAUACCCUGGUAGUCCACGCCGUAAACGAUGAGUGCUAGGUGUUGGAUCCUUUCCGGGAUUCAGUGCCGCAGCUAACGCAUUAAGCACUCCGCCUGGGGAGUACGACCGCAAGGUUGAAACUCAAAGGAAUUGACGGGGGCCCGCACAAGCGGUGGAGCAUGUGGUUUAAUUCGAAGCAACGCGAAGAACCUUACCAGGUCUUGACAUCCCGAUGCUAUUUCUAGAGAUAGAAAGUUACUUCGGUACAUCGGUGACAGGUGGUGCAUGGUUGUCGUCAGCUCGUGUCGUGAGAUGUUGGGUUAAGUCCCGCAACGAGCGCAACCCCUAUUGUUAGUUGCAAUCAUUCAGUUGGGCACUCUAGCGAGACUGCCGGUAAUAAACCGGAGGAAGGUGGGGAUGACGUCAAAUCAUCAUGCCCCUUAUGACCUGGGCUACACACGUGCUACAAUGGUUGGUACAACGAGUUGCGAGUCGGUGACGGCAAGCUAAUCUCUUAAAGCCAAUCUCAGUUCGGAUUGUAGGCUGCAACUCGCCUACAUGAAGUCGGAAUCGCUAGUAAUCGCGGAUCAGCACGCCGCGGUGAAUACGUUCCCGGGCCU
rnacentral:rRNA from 1 species